rnacentral:rRNA from 1 species
UACGUAGGGCGCAAGCGUUAAUCGGAAUUACUGGGCGUAAAGCGUGCGCAGGCGGUUCUAUAAGACAGAUGUGAAAUCCCCGGGCUCAACCUGGGAACUGCAUUUGUGACUGUAGAGCUGGAGUGCGGCAGAGGGGAUGGAAUUCCGCGUGUAGCAGUGAAAUGCGUAGAUAUGCGGAGGAACACCGAUGGCGAAGGCAAUCCCCUGGGCCUGCACUGACGCUCAUGCACGAAAGCGUGGGGAGCAAACAGG